AGAGGGUCGGGACUGGACCUGGCCGCGGGCCGGGUGGACCUAGCCGAGGUCCGCGCGGGUGCGAGGGAGGGUCCGGACCUCCCGAGCGAGGGGCGGGGCAAAGGUGGAUGAGCUCUGGGCACUGGUCGGCUGCCUCUGAACGGGCCCGGAGCCUGCGGGCAUACGCCCGCGUCUCCACUCACGUGACGUUGGACUCAGGGACCUUACCCCCUGGAGGCUUGGAGAAAUAAAAAUAGAAAGAAGGCUGGUGCACGGGAAACUUGUGUGUGGAUCCGGACAGUGCUGCCCACCUGCUGUAUGAGCAGAGCUGCUAAUCUCUCCACUGCUCUUCUCUAUCUUUGGUAAUGUGGUCACUCCUCCCUGUUGUAUCUACUACAGGACAUCCGCAAUCUGGAAAGAAACCAAGGUGGGAGUGAAAAUGAAAAUACAACAGCUGUUAAAAUGCUGGAAUGAUGAAUAAUAACUCAGCAGGGCUCUGGAGUUGUAAAUUCUGACACUUAUUUUCCCAAAUAAAGCACCCUGAAAAUUUA